AAUGCUUCUCCUCAGAGCCGCCACUGCAUAUAAACAUAGAACUCACGUAUACAUGCAUUUUGGCUAACUCAUUAUAAAAGUAAAUAAACCUUUAGUUUUAAAUGAAUAUUAUUAAUAAGGCUCCAUAUAACCCACUGAUUACUGAACCUUUAAAUUCAUUUGGUACUACAGAUCCUCUACAACCAAGUAACAUCAGAGUCCAUUUAGUUCUUUCAGAUGCAUCCCACAAGUUUCACCAUGAAAAUUAUGGAUUUGAAACAGUUCCAUUGCAAUAAACGGUGUAAUUUAACUAAACCAAAUAAAAACAGAGAUAAACAUAGCCAACAGCUUUACUAAAUUUAAACUUACACAAUUAACUUAUUAAAAAAAAUUGCAACUAUAUAAAUUUUUAGAGUUAUUAAUUUAAAAAAUAGUUUAUUACAGUUUUAUAUUUUUAAAUUAAAUUUGGGUUUGUUCAAAAAAAAUUAAAUUUGGGUAACAUAAGUAAAAUAAUUUAAUUUAAUGUUCGUAUAAAUUGUUAAAUUUUAUAAUCCGAAUUAUAUAACUUUUUCCAUACACUAUUUGAUUUAUAUACUAACAACUACUAAGUAAAUACUAACCAACUCUAUAAACUUCGGCUUUUGAACAUGAAAGCGCUAAUAACGCUAAUGGUCGAUCAAAUCAUUUCGAAGAUACGAUAUGAAAAUACCAACAUAUAUGAAUUUGCCAGUCAUCUUAUGUCAACACAAUCUGUCAACAUAAUCAAUCUGUGUGACUUUCAAUAUUCCACUCAUCAUCAUUAUAAAGAACACGAAAAAAUAGAGGUUAAAAAAAACAAACGACAAAAUCAUAUACACAAAACUACAGGAUGGAUCAUCAAUGUACUUGACCCCACGCUUUUGCGGGGGCUACUCCCCUAGUAUAUAUAAUGUGUCAAUUGUUUAGAAGAUAUUCAGUGAUAUAUGAUAAUUGCUCCUUAACCCUCUAUUUUGUUUUGAGAUGGUAUAGUGAUUAGAUCGAGUCAUUUUCAAGUUGAACUCUGUAACUGGUAACAUGAGUAUUUAUGUUUUGGGCCAUUGCAAAAAUAAGCAGUCCGUUUAAAUCCUUUGUCCGCGAACUCCCAUGAACCAAUUUGGGUUACUAUAUUCAUGCCCAACAUGUUUGCAUAUAGAACUUCUUUUUUUUUGAAAGAAUUUUAAAUUUAUUCAUCUAAAAAAACUUUUGUACAGAGAGGACUGCUAUAUUUCUAUAAAAACAAAAAAUUCAAACCUUACUCAUAUACUUAUGUUUUUCCAAACCAAACCUCCAUUGCCUUCUCAAACUUUGCUCCAUUCUUCUUUCUAAGAGAAGUUACUCUGUUUCUCACCAGCUUAUCCAUCCUAGCAAUUAGACAAGUAGCUGGCUGCACUGGAUCCUCAACUCUUCUCACAUUCCUCUCAAUCCACAAUACAUGUACAACUGCUUGGAAACUGUAUCUCAACAAAAAAGUCGAAUGUCUCUCUUGCAUUCCAUUCACCACAGCUUGCAACACUCGAUCCCAUUGAUAGAUGCAUACAUUCCCCACCAAAUUUCCAAUAGUCCCACUCCACACUUCUUUUGAGUAUAUGCAUUCGAAAAAUAAGUGAUCUCUCGUUUCCAGCUCCUCCUUACAAAGCCAACAAGUAGAAAUGACAAAUGGAUUCCAUCUGAGAAUCCUGUCUCCCGUCGCUAGUCUAUUACGAACAGCAAGCCAUGAAAGAAAAGCGAACCUCGGAGUGGCCUCUGGAAACCAAAUACCUUUGCUCCACUGCACUCUAGAUGAACGAGCUCUAAUGAGAUUCCAAGUUUGAGAAGUGACAAAUCACGGCUUGAAAUCCUCAUUUUCCCUCUUCCAUAGACACACAUCCUCCAACAUAUUCAUACCACGACUUCUCAGCUUCAUAACCUCUUGCUCAAUCUGACGAAACACAGGGACUCUGUGCAGUCUGCUCCUAUACAUCUGAAUUGCUCUCUCCAUCGUAGUGUGCACCGGAAUACCCAGAGCUAUGCAUCCUCCUUCUCCUGUUAGAUCUAUUAGUUUUCCCAAAGGAGACCAAUUAUCCAACCAAAAAGAAGUUGUAGCACCACUAUUAAUCUCAACUUGAAUAAACUGAUAAGCCAAUGGUCUUAGCUUUAACAGUUUCUUCCACAUCCAAGAUCCCAAAGAACUACACUCCUUUAUACUCCAAAAAGAACCCUUCCUUAUAAGAUAUCUCCAAAUCCACUGCACCCACAAAGAAUUUCUCGCUGACAAUAACCGCCAAAUGAGCUUUAAGCAAGAAACAUUAUUUGCUUCAUUUAGGUUUCUCAAGCCUAAUCCACCCUCAUCUUUCGGCUUGCACACAUCUAUCUAAGCAAUCUUUGCUUUAUGCGUUGACAAAACUGGGCCAGACCAGAGGAAAGCUGCGCAUAUAGAACUUCUCUCAACCCAAUGAAGGGAAAACAACUUUUUCGGGUCUGCAAUAAUAGGCCUGCGAAGAUUCAUAUCCAAACAUUACUGUCAUGCUAAAACAAACCUGAACUAAGGGUAAAUUUAAAUUAUAUACCCAUGUGUAAAAAGUCAAUGCUUAAUCCAACUUUGACUUAAUUUUGUUAAAUAAUUUUUAACGGUAAUUAGUCAGAUGUUUAGUUGGAAGAUGAUGUCAGCUGGAUCUAGAAACAAGCCGAUCCGAACAUGGAUAUUAUAUAUGUGGGCCAAGAGUUUAAAUCAUUGGGCCGACAAAAAGAAAAAGACUUUAAUUGAACGUGUUGUUUUGUCUUACUCUUUGUUUCCUCAUCUUCUCCGACAAAAUCGAAGCUCGUCGUAGGACUACUAGUUUGAAGUUGAAAAAUGACGGUGUCAUCAAACCCAAACUCGUCAUCAGUAUCAGGUAAGUGAAUCAAGUGUUUUAAUAUGUAUAUCUAUCUUUAUUAGGUAUAAAUAGCCAGUCAUGUUAUGAGAUGGGUGGAGGCAAUAUGAGACGUCGUGGUGGAGGGGAGAGAGAGGAUUUUCAAAAAUGUGAUGUGGGGAAGAAUCUAUGAUUAGAACAUCUGGAACAAGUAAAAACCCCGAGAGGCUCUUCCAUUGUUGUCCAUAUGGAUCCGAAGGGGAAAAAUUUCAUCUUUUCAAAUGGAGUGAUGAAGGUGCGGUGGAAGAGAUUGAAGAUUUAAAAAGUAUGGUGAGUGAUGUAAAAGGAGGAGUCUCAGAUUUGAGAGCUCAAAUAGCUGGAUUGGAGAAGGAUUGUGAAGGAAUGAAGAAUGUGAUUCUCGAAUUAGGGAAAAACAUGAAGGAUUGCUGUGUUGUUUUGAAAAUUUGAAUGUGGGUCAUGUAAGGAUUGGAAGAGUUGUUUUGUAAUGUUUGAAUUCGGAUUUCUUUUACAGUUUCGCAUGUAAGACUUGGAAGUGUCAUUAUGUUAUGUUGACUAUUUUAUCAAAA